rnacentral:tRNA from 1 species
GCUUGGCUGGCUCAGUCGGUUAAGCGUCUGACUCUUAGUUUCGGCUCAGGUCAUGAUCUCACGGUUCGUGGGUUUGAGUCCCGCGUUGGGCU